rnacentral:rRNA from 1 species
AAUCAACGCUGGCGGCGCGCCUAACACAUGCAAGUCGAACGAGAAAGCCGGAGCAAUCUGGUGAGUAAAGUGGCGUACGGGUGAGUAACACGUGGAUCAUCUACCUUUUAGUGAGGAAUAACCAUGGGAAACCGUGGCUAAUACCGCAUGAGCUCGAGAGAGGAAGUCAAAAGACGCUGAAGGAGGAGUCCGCGGCCGAUUAGCUAGUUGGCAGGGUAAAAGCCUACCAAGGCGAAGAUCGGUAGCCGGCCUGAGAGGGCACACGGCCACACUGGCACUGAAACACGGGCCAGACUCCUACGGGAGGCAGCAGUGGGGAAUCUUGCACAAUGGGGGAAACCCUGAUGCAGCGACGCCGCGUGAGCGAUGAAGCCCUUCGGGGUGUAAAGCUCUUUCGGCAGGGAAGAUAGUGACGGUACCUGCAAAAGCAGCUGCGGCUAACUACGUGCCAGCAGCCGCGGUAAUACGUAGGCAGCGAGCGUUGUUCGGAGUUACUGGGCGUAAAGGGUGUGUAGGCGGUUGUUUAAGUUUGGUGUGAAAU